UGCAGUCGACGAGAUCUUCGGAUCUAGUGGCGCACGGGUGCGUAACGCGUGGGAAUCUGCCCUUGGGUUCGGAAUAACAGUUGGAAACGACUGCUAAUACCGGAUGAUGACGUAAGUCCAAAGAUUUAUCGCCCAAGGAUGAGCCCGCGUAGGAUUAGCUAGUUGGUAAGGUAAAGGCUUACCAAGGCGACGAUCCUUAGCUGGUCUGAGAGGAUGAUCAGCCACACUGGGACUGAGACACGGCCCAGACUCCUACGGGAGGCAGCAGUAGGGAAUAUUGGACAAUGGGGGCAACCCUGAUCCAGCAAUGCCGCGUGAGUGAUGAAGGCCUUAGGGUUGUAAAGCUCUUUUACCCGGGAUGAUAAUGACAGUACCGGGAGAAUAAGCCCCGGCUAACUCCGUGCCAGCAGCCGCGGUAAUACGGAGGGGGCUAGCGUUGUUCGGAAUUACUGGGCGUAAAGCGCACGUAGGCGGCGAUUUAAGUCAGAGGUGAAAGCCCGGGGCUCAACCCCGGAAUAGCCUUUGAGACUGGAUUGCUUGAACAUCGGAGAGGUGAGUGGAAUUCCGAGUGUAGAGGUGAAAUUCGUAGAUAUUCGGAAGAACACCAGUGGCGAAGGCGGCUCACUGGACGAUUGUUGACGCUGAAGUGCGAAAGCGUGGGGAGCAAACAG
rnacentral:rRNA from 1 species